AGCGAACGCUGGCGGCAGGCCUAACACAUGCAAGUCGAACGAAGUCUUCGGACUUAGUGGCGGACGGGUGAGUAACACGUGGGAACGUGCCUUUAGGUUCGGAAUAACUCAGGGAAACUUGUGCUAACACCGAAUGUGCCCUUCGGGGGAAAGAUUUAUCGCCUUUAGAGCGGCCCGCGUCUGAUAAGCUAGUUGGUGAGGUAAUGGCUCACCAAGGCUACGAUCAGUAGCUGGUCUGAGAGGAUGACCAGCCACAUUGGGACUGAGACACGGCCCAAACUCCUACGGGAGGCAGCAGUGGGGAAUCUUGCGCAAUGGGCGAAAGCCUGACGCAGCCAUGCCGCGUGGAUGAUGAAGGUCUUAGGAUUGUAAAAUCCUUUCACCGGUGAAGAUAAUGACUGUAGCCGGAGAAGAAGCCCCGGCUAACUUCGUGCCAGCAGCCGCAGUAAAAC
rnacentral:rRNA from 1 species